CAUUAGAGGUUACUGCAGUAGAUGAGUUGGAGGCUGCUGAUCCAGGAGAAGAGUGAGAAAAGAUAAACUCAACAUUGAUGCUAGUGAUGGAAGUGACUCUGAGAGUGGGGCUGAUGCUGCAAUUUGGAUGCUUCCCUGAAGACACCAGCACAGAUCAGGAUGUGAAGCAAUCGGACACCAGAAGAG